GCUUUCUCUUUUUUGCUUUUACUAGUGUAGCAUAAUAAUAUUUGAAGAAAGAAAAAUCACUUAUUUUUUUCCCAAAAGGAAUGUUAUUUUAUGAUUGGAUGUUCUCACCUGCAUCUCAGGACUGUGGAUCAGCUUGGUGUGAAGGGAUCUGUUAUUUCAAAUCUACCCUUUCCAAAAAUUGUGGGAAACUCAUGGUGCAUGGUGAGGAAUGUAUUAGCUCAAAGACUGCAAUAGAGAUGGUAUUCAGGUUAAUCUGGAGGAUAUGUCAUAUGCGUGUUUUCAAUUAUGUUCCAAUAUGUACCUAGCACAUGAGUGCUUGAGUCUAUGACUAAAUCUAUCUUUCAAAACUUUGUAAAUUUUGUCGUGUUGAAUUGAUGUUCAUUUUGUUUUAAUUGUUAUGUCACACAUGUUGUGUUUAUAUUGACAAUACGACUUCUAUUUACAUUGUUGAAUUGUA